UACGGAGGGUGCAAGCGUUAAUCGGAAUUACUGGGCGUAAAGCGCACGCAGGCGGUCUGUCAAGUCGGAUGUGAAAUCCCCGGGCUCAACCUGGGAACUGCAUUCGAAACUGGCAGGCUAGAGUCUUGUAGAGGGGGGUAGAAUUCCAGGUGUAGCGGUGAAAUGCGUAGAGAUCUGGAGGAAUACCGGUGGCGAAGGCGGCCCCCUGGACAAAGACUGACGCUCAGGUGCGAAA
rnacentral:rRNA from 1 species